rnacentral:rRNA from 1 species
AACGAACGCUGGCGGCAUGCCUAACACAUGCAAGUCGAACGAGACCUUCGGGUCUAGUGGCGCACGGGUGCGUAACGCGUGGGAAUCUGCCCUUCGGUUGGGAAUAACUGAGAGAAAUUUCAGCUAAUACCUUAUAAUGUCUUCGGACCAAAGAUUUAUCGCCGAGGGAUGAGCCCGCGUAGGAUUAGGUAGUUGGUGGGGUAAUGGCCUACCAAGCCGACGAUCCUUAGCUGGUCCGAGAGGAUGAUCAGCCACACUGGGACUGAGACACGGCCCAGACUCCUACGGGAGGCAGCAGUGGGGAAUAUUGGACAAUGGGCGAAAGCCUGAUCCAGCAAUGCCGCGUGAGUGAUGAAGGCCUUAGGGUUGUAAAGCUCUUUUACCCGGGAUGAUAAUGACAGUACCGGGAGAAUAAGCUCCGGCUAACUCCGUG